CAGAGUCACAUAAAUUGAUAUAUAAAUCCAUCAUGCAUCCAUUACAAUUCCCUCAUUAACAAAACAACCACCAUAAAUACAUAAUGUCCUACAAAUUAGAGCUUUCAUUCCAAUUCCAUUACACAUAACAUAGCCUAAAAACUCAAAGAAAAAAAGAACAAGCAUGACCCCUCUUCCUUCACAACCACAACAUCUUAUCCUCCUCUUCCUCUCUUUCUCAUUCCUCCCCUUCUUCUCCCUCUCCGCCAUAGACACCUUUGUCUUCGGCGGCUGCACCCAACUUCGCUACUCCCCAAACUCCGCUUACGAAACAAAUCUCAACUCACUACUCACCUCCCUAGUCAACUCAGCCACAUAUUCCUCCUACAACAACUACACCAUCCAAGGUUCCUCCCCACAAGACGCCCUCUUCGGUCUCUACCAAUGCCGGGGCGACCUCUCCAUGCCAGACUGCGCCACAUGCAUUGCCCGCGCCGUGACGCAGCUAGGUGGGCUCUGCUCGGACACCUGCGGCGGGGCGCUGCAGCUGGAGGGAUGCUACGUGAAGUACGACAACUCGAGCUUUCUUGGGGUGGAAGAUAAGACGGUGGUGCUGAAGAAGUGUGGGCCGUCGGUGGGGUACGAGGAGGAGGCGAUGGGGCGGAGGGAUGCGGUGUUAGGGGCGUUGGUGGGGGCGAGUGGAGGGUAUAGAGUGGGGGGGGCUGGGAAAGUACAAGGAGUGGCUCAGUGUGUAGGGGAUUUGAGUGGGAGUGAGUGUCAAGAUUGUGUAGGAGAGGCUAUUGGAAGGUUGAAAAGUGAUUGUGGGACGGCGGAUUUUGGGGAUAUGUUUUUGGGAAAGUGUUAUGCAAGGUAUAACACUCAUGGGCCUCCUGUUUUCUCUAAGGCCCAUCAUGGUAAGCCAUUUCUCACCACUACUACUACUACUACUGCCAUUUCAUUGAUAAAUCUAAUGGUGAUGGUGAGAAGACAUUUGCGAUUAUCAUUGGGCUACUAGCUGGAGUUGCUCUGGUUAUCAUUUUUCUUGUCUUUAUAAGAAAGGUGUUUGAACGAUCUGGUAAAUAAUAAUAAAAUAUAGCAAAUGGAAAAGCUUUUAACAAAUUCAACCUCUAAAGGUGAAGAAUAUUGGGUUCCUGCUGGUUGGUUUUUCUUUUUUUUUUUUUUUUUGGCUUAAUUCCAAAUUUAAGUUUUUUACUUUAUUUAUAUUGUUUGGAUUUGCUUUAAUAUUAUUUGGUGUUUCCCAAGUGAAGUUUGUGUAAUCUUUAGUUGGCACAAAAGAAAAGACAUGGAGAGUUGAAAAAGAGAGAAAUACUUAUUCUCUAUUAUUGUGGAAACUGUGGUACAUUCUUUGUAAAAGAUCGAUGGAGAUAAUUUUUCAAUUUUUUUAAAUAUAAUAAUACUACUCUAAUUACACUA